AUUAAUGUACACAAUUUAAUUUUAAUUCUUACAUUGCUUCUGUAUUCAGGCUAAAUAUUAAUUUAAGCUGAAGAAUGUUUUGAUGUGUAAAUAAACUGGUGUUACAGACACUCCUUCUCUCUUCAGCAAGGCUAUGACAGGCUGGUGUGGCUUCCAUUGGCAUCUCCUCACUUUUUCAUGUUAAUAAUCUGUGAAGUUCAAACACUACACAGAAAAGGGAUCAGCCUCUUUCUGCAGUAGCUUUGAACUUUCUUUAUUCAAAAGGGCAACUAGAACUAUAAUUAGGUACAGCUAGCUGUCAUUAUUUAGCUCAUUCAUUAUUUAUAUCUUCCUCCCACAGUGCCUGUGAACCUCACAUCUUGUGUUGGCGGAGAUAGGAGUCUGAAUGUUGCUUUCAAAAGCUCCAAGUUACACAGUACUCCCUGUGGUAUGGCCCUGGAUUUGUAAUCUGGGCUUCAGGGUGCUGACCUAAUGCAACCAAUGAUGUUACAACCUGUAGCAUCCCAUGCUCAGAAUUUGUUGAGGCAAUCUCUCUCCACCUUUCAGGCAAGCAAUCAGAGAUGAACCCUCCCGCAGACAGCUACUCCCUGCAUGUACUCUAAUCCUUGUCAAUCCCUCACUGAGAUCUCUCCCCACCUCCUGCUGGGUAAAUUAUUGUUUUGAUGUUUUGUGAGUUAUUGUAUUACCAAGUUCUGAAAGUUUCUGGAGAUGGGAGAAGAGUUAACUGUAAUUUUCAUUGGAGCCAAAUGCAGGAAGACCAUAAUUGGAUGGAGGUUUAGCAGUUUUCUUUUAAGCUCCUGAUGGUCAGUAACACACUGUCUUUUUACAAAAGCCCUGCAUGACCAGAAUGGUCACAGCUCUAGUAACAAGUUGCAUUGCUUUGUCAUGGUCUUUAAGAACAGGUUUCCUCUUUUCUACAGUAUGCAGCUUAAUCUUUCUGGGAUGCCUUCUUCUCCAAAUCCUUCUCUGUGAAGGACUAGCAGAUGGAAAAGCAAGAACUUGAGAACAGCCUGGUGCUGUCAUACAGAGAAUGCUCUUUCCAUCUUAGAUGCUGUCCUUGUGCAGUGACAAGAGAUCGCCUGGCUUCAAACUGCCAGCUCAAGUUUGGCAUCAGUUCAACCACCUGGGCUACAGAAGGUGGUCCUUGGAGCUCAGUUCCAAAGUCAGAAAAAAGCAGAUUCUGGUACCAACACCAGUUUACCAGGCCUUGCAGGAUCUGAGAAGAAACUCCUGCCAGGGGAUGUAGUACCACACAGAAGCUGAGGACAGGAACAGGGUAUCUGUGAGUCCAGUGACCAGUCUCUUGUGCAAGUAAAUACUGGAGUGUUUUUGUCCAUGUAUUGAACACUAAGAAUUCUCACUAGUUUUGGAUAUUCAAUAUAUGUAGAUAGAUUUGUAUCCUGCACUUUACCCAUACCCACUCUGUCAUCCUCUGGCAAUCAACAUACUGAUUCAGCCUUGGUCUUAAAUCCAGCUGAGUUAAACCAGAGGUGAAUUUGGUUCUGUCUGAUUGAUAAUUAGAUUUUUCUUAUGUUCUAAAUUAAAUAGAGAAAGAAAUAAGAGCAGCAAGGCUAAAUUUGUUAGAACAGAUUUGAAUCCUUAUUUAGCUUUUUUCCGUGAUGCAAGUCUUCCACUCACUAUCUACCCUUAUGUUUCCUAGAACAUAUUUUGGAUGAUGCUGCUGCACUCUUUCUGGAACUGUUACUCAAUGUAUUUAUUGUAUUUGCAGAACAUUUUACAAACAAGGUAGGUCAAAUUUUUUCCUUGUUGACAUAAUUCAACAGACUUCACAUAGGUUAGCUGGAAGUAAUGUGGUCCAGUUAGUUUUGUUUACAGAUUUAUUCAAUAUUAAUUUUAAACUCUAGGUUUACACCUAGCUUUCUGUCUGACCUUAGGAUGGGAAAAUGCCAAGGCCCAUUUUUCACUUGUUAAAAAUUACAUCUGUGAAUAAAUGUAAGAAACUUUCAGGCCUUUGUCAUUAGAUUUUAAUUGUAUUUUCUAUUAAAAAAAACCAACUUUCAACCACUGGUCUUUAAACUGUUUUCCAAAGAAAAGUUCUUUUUCCUAUCCAUUUAAGGGAGCAGGUUCACUCAUAAUUACCCUGGCCUGACUUCUAGAGGAAGCAAUAUACUAAGAUCUAAGCUGUCAAAAGGAGGAACCACAGAGCUUCUUGAUAGAUUUAGUCUAGAGUCAGUUCAAAGAGGCUGAACCUUUUGCUGACUUUAAAUAAACAACAUUUAUUUUCCAUCAGAGAAAAAAAUUUAGAAAAAGGAGGUGAUACAAGGCAGUGUUGUGACCCUGUGAAUGCCUCAGAGAGUUUUCAACAGCCUAAGUUAACAGGCAGAGCUCCUCAGGCACAGACACCCUCAGAACUGGGUAGGUGUAAAACUAUCUUCACACCUAAAGAUCUAGUAAGAUGACUCAAGCAUGGCACAGAAUCUCACCUCAGUGCUUUAUAUCACCAUACUUCCCAUAUGUCUUUAUGAAUAUAACACUUCUCCCUCAGUCUGGAAAGGCCUGAAAUAAUGAGCUUUAUCCUCACAGCAUCUUUAUGCCUGGAUAAACAUUGUGCUAGUUUGUUUCUGAAGAUCAUAGCCUUUGUAGCCAAGCGUUAUAGAUGCUGUAAAGACCUGACUUCAGAGAAGACAUAAAAAUAAUUGUGACUCCUUUUAUCAUGUAUGAUGCAAAUAGCAUACCUAAGUCGGUUUGGUUAGGCAGCCCUCUCAUCUGAUUUAGAACUGUCAGACUGCUCUCCUUGUGUCUAACACAUACUUACAUCCAGAAAUAUUCUUUUUGUUCAAAGUAAACAGAAAUAGACCCCUUUUCAAACAAUGUGUACUUCAAUGUGGAACAUACUGCCAUGCAGAGUAUCCAAAGGCAGAUUUUAUGCAUGUUGAGAAGAUGGAAAUGGAACAAAUCCAUUAUUUGUACACCCACCAAAUAAACAAAAAAGCCGCCAAAACUAUGAAGCACAAACAUCACCUCUGUGUGAGUGCCUGAGCUCCAAGCUGCUAGGAAUGGCAAGGAUUUGUCAUCAGUAUUUGGUUGCUCCAUUAAAAUGUGACAUACUGCUGGCCACUGCUGGACUGGAUGGGUCUUCAGUGUGACCUCCUGUGGCCAAUUCCAUGUUCACACACUAUGUUUUUAACAUACAAGUGGACAACAAAGGCCUAUGCUGGUAUCGUGUUUUAGAAGGCAAAAUCAUAAACAAGAAGUCCCUGUGAGGGUUCUUUCAGAUAUUCAGUUCACUUCAAGUAAUUGCACUUCACAAAAAAACUGAGAGAUUUUUAAAGGAAGUUUUUUUUUUAAGAUUAGCAUUUGUUAAAAGAUUAGGUUUGAGUCGUGAAGAAUGCACCUAGUCUUGAAAGGCUGGCAUUUGUGAGGCUGCACUGUUACAUACUAACAGAUGCAAAAUUUGCCUUUCUCUGUUUCAUUAUGGCGAGCACUGAAUUCAACUAGGUUUGGUCAACAAUUGCAUUAGAGCUUCCUCGUGAAGGUUUGAGUGGUUGCUUUAUUCUGACUUGUUAUCAUGAAACAAAAGGAUGAAUUAAAGGUCAGGAUUUGUUAUGAGAGAUGGACAGUCGUGAGCAAAGCGCUGACUGCUGUUAGGGCAGUGCCUUGUUCUGCCGCAGCUGCUGGCUCCAUCCUGUGAUCCAAGAGGAGUACAGGGCUGCACUUGCCAUUUGUAAAGGCCAAGCUGAUGGAAAACAUCCAGCUGCGGUUCAGAACACUGCGAGGAGCGCUGCAGCUCCGCCGGCAGCACCUGGUAGGCUUAGGAAGGACGCGGAGCCGGGCGCGCACACGGAGCUCGCUUCACGCCUGGUUAUUGAGUGCCACCCAGUGGGGGCUGCCUUAUCCGGGAACGGAGCUGGGAAUACACAGAUGCCUACAGGGUCAAAGCACACUGGGCUGGUAGAGCUUUUUGUUAUUGUUGCUUUGGUUUGGGUUUUUUGUUGUUGUUUUUGGAGGGGGGUUGCUAGUUAAAAAAAAAACAACUGAGGACUACUUAUUUUCAUAUGAAAUAUAUCAAAUAGAGUGUCUGCUAGCUGUUACUGUGCAAAGAUUCUGUUUGCAUUCAUCUGUGAUUUUGUCCAGUGAUUUCUAUUUUUGGGUUCAUUAUGGCCUUGUAAGCAGCCUUUUUAAACUAUGGGUAAUAAAGUAUUUCCACUUUAACCAUGGUAGCAUAAAGCGGCCACACACGUGUAAGAGAUAUUGUUUGUAUAUUUUUAAUAAAUAAAGCAUAUUGGAGCAGA